rnacentral:ncRNA from 1 species
GAUAACUGGCUUGUAGCGGCUAAGCGUUUAUAGCGACGUUGCUUUUUGAUCUUUCGAUGUCGGUUCUUCCUAUUAUACCGAAGUAGAAUUCGGUAAGCGUUGGAUUGUUCACCUACUAGACUAUGGUUAAUCUAAUUUUCAUAGUUUUGAUGUUG